rnacentral:rRNA from 1 species
GCCCAGCACCGAAGCGCCCGUCCCAACGGGGCGGGAGGGCAAUGUGGUGUUUAGGAAUAGCGCGACCGAAGGUUGAUCUAAGCGCAAGUCCUCCUGACUGAGGCUCUCGCCCAUUGAGGGUGCAAGGCCCGUGGUCGCUUAUGAUCUCCGGCGGAAGCAAAAUUCCUUGGAGUCGGGUUGCUUGAGAGUGCAGCCCUAAGUGGGUGGUAAACUCCAUCUAAGGCUAAAUACGACCACGAAACCGAUAGCGAACAAGUACCGUGAGGGAAAGUUGAAAAGAACUUUGAAGAGAGAGUUCAAGAGUGCGUGAAACCGUUUAGAGGUAAACGGGUGGGCCCUCGAAGGUGAUCGUCGGAGGGAUUCAGUCGGACGUGACCGUAAGCGUCGUUCGUCUCUAACGGUGCGGACCUCGGUCGGCCGGGCGGGCGAAGGCUGCGGGCCGUUUGGCGCAUUUCCUUCCGUUCGAACUACGCUGCGACCAGUCUGGUCACUGAAAGUUGUCGUCCUUGAAAACGGGCGAUGGAAGGUGGCCGGCGGCGUCUCUCGGGAUGCCGUCGGUGUUUAUAGCCGGUUCGUUUCACGAGUGAGCGUUCAUCAGACUGGGGACGAUUCUAGCCCUGUGCGGGCUACGCCGAGCACUCCGUUUGGAGCGUUGCGGGACGACUGGAUGCGCCUGCGGUCGGUGGUUUCACCUUUGUGUGGGCUAACGCCGUAGGUCUCCGUAAGCUCGUUCUUGACCCGUCUUGAAACACGGACCAAGGAGUCUAACAUGUGCGCGAGUCAUUGGGUCUUGAAUAGGCCCAAAGGCGUAAUGAAAGUGAAGGGCGGUUCGGCCGUCUGCCUUGGGAUCCCGUGAACCUCGCGUUCGCGGGCGCACCAAGGGCCCGUCCCGGUCGCCUCGUCGACGGGGCGGAGCAAGAGCGUACACGUUGGGACCCGAAAGAUGGUGAACUAUGCCUGGGCAGGACGAAGCCAGAGGAAACUCUGGUGGAGGUCCGCAGCGAUUCUGACGUGCAAAUCGGCGAGUGCCAAGUGGGCCACUUUUGGUAAGCAGAAUUGGCGCUGUGGGAUGAACCAAACGCCGGGUUAAGGGGCCCGAUGCGAGACGCUCAUGAGAUCCCAUGAAAGGUGUUGGUUGCUAUAGACAGCAGGACGGUGGCCAUGGAAGUCGGAAUCCGCUAAGGAGUGUGUAACAACUCACCUGCCGAAGCAACUAGCCCUGAAAAUGGAUGGCGCUUCAGCGUCGACCCCAUACCCGGCCGCCGCGGCCGAAAAGCCUCGUGUUUUAAGCCGCGGUGAGUAGGAGGGGCGCGGAGGCGAGCGUCGAAGGUGCCGGGCGUAAGCCCGCCUGGAGCCGCCUCCGGCGCAGAUCUUGGUGGUAGUAGCAAAUACUCAAGUGAGAACCUUGAGGACUGAGGUGGAGAAGGGUUCCAUGUGAACAGCAGUUGAACAUGGGUCAGUCGGUCCUAAGGGAUAGGAGAAAUCCGUUCCGAGGCGGGACCUAAUUUAUUAUGAAAGUCCCGCUGAUGACCGAAAGGGAAUCGGGUUAAUAUUCCCGAACCCGGACGCGGAGAUCGUCCUCUUCGGAGGUACAUUGCGGUAACGCAAACGAGCUCGGAGACGUCGACGGGAGCACCGGGAAGAGUUAUCUUUUCUUUGUAAGGAUUCGACUCCCUGGAAUCGGCUCGCCCGGAGAUAGGGAUGGUGUUUCCGUAAAGCA